rnacentral:rRNA from 1 species
AAUGAUGAAUGUCAUAGAUUAGACACAUAAUAGUUUAUUCUAUAAAUGAAAGUGUAAGCAUUCCACCUCAAGAGUAAUUUGGCAACAUUGGAACUGAAAUCAUUAGACCGUUUCUGAAACCAGUAGUGAAGUAUGUUGUUUAAUUUGAUAAUCCGCAAAAAACCUUACCACAAUUUGAAUAUUUAUAUUAUUUUUUCUGAUCUAUUACAUGAAAGGAAAAAAGAUAUCUACAAGCGUUGCACGGCUGUCUUCAGUUAAUGUCGUGAGAUUUUGGUUAGUUCCAUUAAAUUAACGUAAACCCUUACUUUAUUUUUAUAUAAAGUAGUUCCCCACUAGAUUGGAUAAGAUAACAGGGACUAAGACAAGUCAUCAUGGCCUAAAUAUUGU